rnacentral:tRNA from 1 species
ACCUGGGUGGCUCAGUUGGUUGAGCGUCCGACUGCAGCUCAGGUCAUGAUUUCAUGGUUUGUGAGUUCGAGUCCCACAUCAGGCU